rnacentral:rRNA from 1 species
UACGUAGGGUGCGAGCGUUGUCCGGAAUUAUUGGGCGUAAAGGGCUCGUAGGCGGUUUGUCGCGUCGGGAGUGAAAUCCACUGGCUUAACUGGUGGCUUGCUUUCGAUACGGGCAGACUGGAGGUAUGCAGGGGAGAUCGGAAUUCCUGGUGUAGCGGUGAAAUGCGCAGAUAUCAGGAGGAACACCGGUGGCGAAGGCGGAUCUCUGGGCCUUGCCUGACGCUGAGGCGCGAAAGCUAGGGGAGCGAACAGG